rnacentral:rRNA from 1 species
GACGAACGCUGGCGGCGUGCUUAACACAUGCAAGUCGAACGGAAAGGCCUGCUUUCCCUUGUGGAUUGCGGGUACUCGAGUGGCGAACGGGUGAGUAACACGUGAGUGAUCUGCCCCCAACUUGGGUAUAAGCCUGGGAAACUGGGUCUAAUUCCCGAUAGGACUGCAGGGUGGUGCCUGUGGUGGAAAACGAUUUUCUAGUGGUUGGGGAUGAGCUCGCGGCCUCUCAGCUUGUUGGUGGGGUAAUGGCCUACCAAGGCGGCGACGGUUAGCCGGCCUGAGAGGGUGGACGGCCACAUUGGGACUGAGAUACGGCCCAGACUCCUACGGGAGGCAGCAGUGGGGAAUAUUGCACAAUGGGCGGAAGCCUGAGGCAGCGACGCCGCGUGGGGGAUGACGGCCUUCGGGUUGUAAGCUCCUUUCGACCGCGAGGAAGCCACCUGGUUGGAAGGGUGGUGACGGUAGUGGUAGAAGAAGCACCGGCUAACUACGUG